rnacentral:rRNA from 1 species
UACGUAGGCAGCGAGCGUUGUUCGGAGUUACUGGCGUAAGGGUGUGUAGGCGGUUGUUUUAAGUUUGGUGUGAAAUCUCCCGGCUCAACUGGAGGGUGCGCCGAAUACUGAAUGACUAGAGUGCGGGAGAGGUGAGUGGAAUUCCUGGUGUAGCGGUGAAAUGCGUAGAUAUCAGGAGGAACACCGGUGGUGUAGACGGCUCACUGGACCGUACUGACGCUGAGACACGAAAGCGUGGGUAGCAAACAGG